rnacentral:tRNA from 1 species
GAGCCGCGUGGCGUAGCGGUUAAGUGCUUGGACUGCCACUUACACGGUCAGGAGUUCGAGCCCCCUGUGGGUCA